rnacentral:rRNA from 1 species
AGUUUGAUCCUGGCUCAGAACGAACGCUGGCGGCAGGCUUAACACACGCAAGUCGAACGCCCCGCAAGGGGAGUGGCAGACGGGUGAGUAACGCGUGGGAAUCUACCGUGCCCUGCGGAAUAGCUCCGGGAAACUGGAAUUAAUACCGCAUACGCCCUACGGGGGAAAGAUUUAUCGGGGAAGGAUUGGCCCGCGUUGGAUUAGCUAGUUGGUGGGGUAAAGGCCUACCAAGGCGACGAUCCAUAGCUGGUCUGAGAGGAUGAUCAGCCACAUUGGGACUGAGACACGGCCCAAACUCCUACGGGAGGCAGCAGUGGGGAAUAUUGGACAAUGGGCGCAAGCCUGAUCCAGCCAUGCCGCGUGAGUGAUGAAGGCCUUAGGGUUGUAAAGCUCUUUCACCGAUGAAGAUAAUGACGGUAGUCGGAGAAGAAGCCCCGGCUAACUUCGUGCCAGCAGCCGCGGUAA